UACGGAGGGGGCUAGCGUUGUUCGGAAUUACUGGGCGUAAAGCGUGCGCAGGCGGCUUCUCAAGUCAGGGGUGAAAGCCCAGAGCUCAACUCUGGAACUGCCUUUGAGACUGAGUGGCUUGAGUACGAGAGAGGUGAGUGGAAUUCCCAGUGUAGAGGUGAAAUUCGUAGAUAUUGGGAAGAACACCGGUGGCGAAGGCGGGCUCACUGGCUCGUAACUGACGCUCAUGCACGACAGCGUGGGGAUCAAACAGG
rnacentral:rRNA from 1 species